AGAGUUUGAUCAUGGCUCAGGAUGAACGCUAGCUACAGGCUUAACACAUGCAAGUCGAGGGGAACGACAUCGAAAGCUUGCUUUUGAUGGGCGUCGACCGGCGCACGGGUGAGUAACGCGUAUCCAACCUGCCCAUCACUUGGGGAUAACCUUGCGAAAGUAAGACUAAUACCCAAUGAUAUCUCUAGAAGGCAUCUGAAAGAGAUUAAAGAUUUAUCGGUGAUGGAUGGGGAUGCGUCUGAUUAGCUUGUUGGCGGGGUAACGGCCCACCAAAGCAACGAUCAGUAGGGUUCUGAGAGGAAGGUCCCCCANAUUGGAACUGAGACACGGUCCAAACUCCUACGGGAGGCA
rnacentral:rRNA from 1 species